AAUGAACGCUGGCGGCGUGCUUAACACAUGCAAGUCGCACGAGAACGCUUCAGCUUGCUGAGGCUAGUAAAGUGGCGCACGGGUGAGUAACGCGUGGGUAACCUGCCCUGUACACACGGAUAACAUACCGAAAGGUAUGCUAAUACGAGAUAACAUACUUUUAUCGCAUGGUAGAAGUAUCAAAGCUCCGGCGGUACAGGAUGGACCCGCGUCUGAUUAGCUAGUUGGUAAGGUAACGGCUUACCAAGGCGACGAUCAGUAGCCGACCUGAGAGGGUGAUCGGCCACAUUGGAACUGAGACACGGUCCAAACUCCUACGGGUGGCUG
rnacentral:rRNA from 1 species